rnacentral:rRNA from 1 species
UGGGGAAUAUUGGACAAUGGGCGAAAGCCUGAUCCAGCCAUGCCGCGUGAGUGACGAAGGCCUUAGGGUUGUAAAACUCUUUCGUCGGGGACGAUAAUGACGGUACCCGAAGAAGAAGCUCCGGCUAACUUCGUGCCAGCAGCCGCGGUAAUACGAAGGGAGCUAGCGUUGUUCGGAAUCACUGGGCGUAAAGCGCACGUAGGCGGCGUAUCAAGUCGGGGGUGAAAGGCCUGGGCUCAACCCAGGAACUGCCUUCGAUACUGAUGCGCUGGAGUCCGGGAGAGGGUAGCGGAAUUCCCAGUGUAGAGGUGAAAUUCGUAGAUAUUGGGAAGAACACCGGUUGCGAAGGCGGCUACCUGGCCCGGUACUGACGCUGAGGUGCGAAAGCGUGGGGAGCAAACAGGAUUAGAUACCCAUGUAGUCCCUGAGCGGGCUGGCAAGGCGCAU